GGCCGAGUGCCUGGGCACAGGGGGAGCGGGGCCCCCCAGGGGGUCUGGUUGGGGACCUGCUCAGGGACCUGCUACGGGGCCACUCUGCGCUGUUGGGCUGCUCACCUCCAGGUUGAAGCCUCCCGGAGCCAUGGUGCGGAGCUCAGCGCUGGGCGGCUGCAGCCGGGCUCUGGCACCGGGCAGCUCCGGCGAGGCUCCGGUGCAGGUGCAGCUUCAGAUGGCCUCAGCGAGGUUCCAGCACGGGUGCAGCUUCAGGCGGCCACGGCCGGGCUCUGGCACGGGUGCAGCUUCAGGCGGCCGUGGCCGGGCUCCGGCACGGGUGCAGCUUCAGGCGGCCGCAGUGAGGCUCCGGCACGGGUGCAGCUUCAGGCGGCCUCAGUGAGGCUCCGGCACGGGUGCAGCUUCAGGCGGCUGCGGCCAGGCUCCGGCGCGGGUGCAGCUUCAGGCGGCCGCGGCCGGGCUCCGGCACGGGUGCAGCUUCAGGCGGCCGCAGCGAGGCUCUGGCGCGGGUGCAGCUUCAGGCAGCUGCGGCCUGGCUCUGGCGCGGGUGCAGCUUCAAGUGGCUGCGCCCGGGCUCCGGUGCGGGUGCAGCUUCAGACAGCUGCAGUGAGGCUCCGGUGCUGGGCAGCUCCGGCGAUGCUGCGGCGCGGGUGCAGCUCUGGGUGGCUCUGGUGCGGGUGCAGCUCUGGGCAGCUCCGGUGCGGGGGCGGCUCUGGUGUGGGUGCAGCUCUGGUGCGGGUGCAGCUCCGGGCGGCUCUGGUGCGGGUGCAGCUCUGGGCUGCGGGUGCAGUUCCAGGCGGCUCCGGUGCGGGUGCAGCUUUGGGCUGCGGGUGCAGCUCUGGGCGGUGGGUGCAGUUCCAGGCGUCUCCAGUGCGGGUGCAGCUCCGGCGCGGGUGCAGCUUUGGGGUGCGGGUGCAGGUCCGGGUCGGUUGUGGCGCAGGUGCAGCUCCGGGCGGUGGUGGCGAGGCUCUGGCGCCGUGCUCAGGUCCCUGUGGUUUCGGCGGCGCGGAGGGGAAGCGGGGGGGCCCCGUCCCCUCCUCGGCACCUGGGGGGCUGGGCCAGGUUUGGGGAACCGAGCGCUGCCGGUGA
rnacentral:lncRNA from 1 species